GGGAGAGUGUGGUUAUGAGGGUAUUGAAGUAAUUUACUUUUGCAGUGGAAAGAGCCAAGCUGUAAGAGCAGCAUACAUUUGUAGUGGAGAAAGUCAGAUGCGGAGUGAGACUUUCUCCAGAAGUGUUCAGCAGUUCUGGAGCAUUUUUGGAGGUAUUAUAUCAGCUUGGUGUGCCAAGGUUGUAUUUGGUUGCGCUUGCUGCGUUUAAGUGUGGAGGUGC